CGUAGGGUGCGAGCGUUAAUCGGAAUUACUGGGCGUAAAGCGUGCGCAGGCGGUUUUGUAAGACAGAUGUGAAAUCCCCGGGCUCAACCUGGGACCUGCAUUUGUGACUGCAAGGCUAGAGUACGGUAGAGGGGGAUGGAAUUCCGCGUGUAGCUGUGAAAUGCGUAGAUAUGCGGAGGAACACCGAUGGCGAAGGCAAUCCCCUGGACCUGUACUGACGCUCAUGCACGAAAGCGUGGGGAGCAAACAGGAUUAGAUACCCUGGUAGUCCACGCCCUAAACGAUGUCAACUGGUUGUUGGGUCUUUACUGACUCAGUAACGAAGCUAACGCGUGAAGUUGACCGCCUGGGGAGUACGGCCGCAAGGUUG
rnacentral:rRNA from 1 species